AGCUUUGCGCAGUGGCAGUAUCAUAGCCAAUGAGGUUUAUCUGAGGCGCAAUUAUUGCUAACUGAAAAGAAUUAAGACAUUUUAUGUACAUGUACCAACUCCCCACAAAGAAUAUAAUCAUGUAAUGCAAACAUGCCCUAAUAAGCAUUAAAAUAAAAGAAUUUAUAGUAAUCUCAAUGUCAUUGGUCUGGAAA
rnacentral:snRNA from 1 species